rnacentral:misc_RNA from 1 species
GAUGAAGAACGGCAGCGAAAUGCGAUAAGUAAUGUGAAUUGCAGAAUUCAGUGAAUCAUCGAAUCUUUGAACGCACAUUGCGCCCGCCAGUAUUCUGGCGGGCAUGCCUGUCCGAGCGUCAUUUCAACCCUCGAACCCCUCCGGGGGGUCGGCGUUGGGGACCUCGGGAGCCCCUAAGACGGGAUCCCGGCCCCGAAAUACAGUGGCGGUCUCGCCGCAGCCUCUCCUGCGCAGUAGUUUGCACAACUCGCACCGGGAGCGCGGCGCGUCCACGUCCGUAAAACACCCAACUUCUGAAAUGUUGACCUCGGAUCAGGUAGGAAUACCCGCUGAACUUAAGCAUAUCAAUAAGCGGAGGA